AUCCUGAAUCCCAUCCUAUUGGUUGAGGGUCCACUUGGAAGAAGGGAGAAAAGCCUAGCGAGGGCUUAUCUCUCCUUUCUGUCAUGACACGGGCUAUCCUGCUCCAUUUCUCUCCACUCCACCCCAAGCCCACCCCCAGCGCCAUGCUGGACUGAACUUGGGAAGCCCCAGGCCGAUGGCAGUCUUCCCUCUGUUUAUGCCAGUCAUCCCAUCACAGCAUGAGAAAGGACAACACAGCCUCUGAUAAGGAAGCCUCAGCUCACAGAGGCUCUGCAGGCUCCCGCAUAAUCCUUCCAUCUGGCUCUAGUGUGAGCAGGAAUGCAGAGUGGCCUGUUGUAGGCAUGGAAACGAGGCUGUGCGAGCAUCUGCCUCAGCUGCCUGCUGGAUCUUUCAGGAGAGGAUGCCUUACCUCCGACACCAGUGCGUGUGCACACACGCACAUAUGCACACACGUGGGCAGGAGACCAGAGUUCAAGUCACGACCCCCGUAUAGAAGACACACGAGCACCAGCUCCAGGGUAUUUGUUUGCCUCUUCUGUCUCUAGGGACACGUGUGUGUGCACACACACACAGCAAAAACAACCAAACAAAGAAGGAUGAGAGCCUGAGACACCAGCGGGGCCAUUUGGCUAGAACUUUGCAUACCCUGAACAGCUUCCUGACGAUGACGGCCAUUCUACUCUCCUUUCCAGAAAACGAGACUCACAUUGCUUAUAAACCAUCCAGUGACUCUGCUUGGAGGAAAUCCCAUCCAGAGGGGCCCUGAGGUACCCGGGAUGCAGGUCCAUCACCUGCCUUCCACAGGAGAGGAGACUCUCUUCUGUGAUGAUAGCAAUGUCUAGUACAGCCCAGAGAGAGGAGCUCGGGGCUUGUUCUACUCAGAACUCGUACACACACUCAAGGGAAUCGCCAAAGCCUGUCAAAGCUGCCAGAUGCCGGAGUUGCAUUCUGGGGGCAUUAGACUAAGGAAGACAAACUUGGAGGUUAAACAGGGCCACAUUAGUUGGUAUAGGCAUUUUACUGAGGCCUGGGGUUUACCCUGGGUGAUUUGGCUCUUUGGAUCCUGAAAUAAGUUUAAAAAAAGAAAGUACAUCUUCCAGUCUCUUGGCUCAGGAGAUCAGUCCUGGGAGGAAGGCCUUCAUGCCCCAAGCCUCCUGAGCUCCUCCAGAAGGACUCACAGUCUCCUUGAAAUAGAAAAAACUCCCAGUUCCAAACUGACGAUGCUUGGUGACUUGAUCAAAACUCCACCGUGGUCCCCAGGCAGGAUGGAAAUCAUGUGGGAUUGCAGUUGCUAUGGCAUGAAUGUUCCGUUGCUGCUGCAUGGUCCCAGACAUGGAAAUUUGACUGCGACCAGGCCACACUACUUCUGGGAUGGUGUACUGUUGACCUCACAGUCACAGGCUUCACCAGGGAGGAAGGCCUCUGGCCACACCUAUGGGGGAAACCAAACAGAAGCAGCACCAUCCCUGUGGCCUAGGGUCCUGGACUGAAUUAAAAGGAGGUAGCAGGGGGCUGGGGAGAAGGCUCAGAGGUUAAAGUGCUUGCUACAAAUGCAAGAGGACAGUUCCCAGCACCCCGCAGCCUUUGAAUGAGAAUGGGGUACCAAGUCCAGCAAUACUGGUGACCUAUGGGGUGGAUUGAGAGACCCUGUCUCAAAAUGAAUGAAGUCUGAUGCCCUCUUCUGGUGUGUCUGAAGAGAGGAAGAGUGUACUCACAUUAAAUAAAUGAAUAAAUAAAUAAAUAAAUAAAUCUUUUAAAAAAUGUUUAAAAAAAAAAAA